UGGGGAAUAUUGGACAAUGGGCGAAAGCCUGAUCCAGCAACGCCGCGUGAGGGAUGACGGCCUUCGGGUUGUAAACCUCUUUCAGUAGGGACGAAGCGCAAGUGACGGUACCUACAGAAGAAGCACCGGCCAACUACGUGCCAGCAGCCGCGGUAAUACGUAGGGUGCGAGCGUUGUCCGGAAUUAUUGGGCGUAAAGGGCUCGUUGGCGGUUUGUCACGUCGGGAGUGAAAACUCGGGCUUAACCCCGAGCCUGCUUCCGAUACGGGCUGACUAGAGGUAUGCAGGGGAGAACGGAAUUCCUGGUGUAGCGGUGAAAUGCGCAGAUAUCAGGAGGACACCGGUGGCGAAGGCGGUUCUCUGGGGCAUUACCUGACGCUGAGGAGCGAAAGUGUGGGGAGCGAACAGGAUUAGAUACCCUGGUAGUCCACACCGUAAACGUUGGGCGCUAGGUGUGGGACUCAUUCCACGAGUUCCGUGCCGCAGCUAACGCAUUAAGCGCCCGCCUGGGGAC
rnacentral:rRNA from 1 species